UACGGGGGGAGCAAGCGUUGUUCGGAUUUACUGGGCGUAAAGGGCGCGUAGGCGGCACCGCGAGUCGACUGUGAAAUCUCCGGGCUUAACCCGGAAAGGUCAGCCGAUACUGCGGGGCUAGAGUGCAGAAGGGGCAACUGGAAUUCUUGGCGUAGCGGUGAAAUGCGUAGAUAUCAAGAGGAACACCUGCGGCGAAGGCGGGUUGCUGGGCUGACACUGACGCUGAUGCGCGAAAGCUAGGGGAGCGAACGGG
rnacentral:rRNA from 1 species